ACCUCUAAGAUUGUCAAUCGAUAAGUCUACUACCUCUAAUAUUGAAGAAGACCAUGUUGGCUUCUGGCAUAUUUUUGGCGGCAAGGCAUCUCGUCGCCGGAUCUUUUCCUUGGAUGUUGUUUUAUUAGAUAUCUUUGGGCAGCCAGUUAACAAGGAACUAGAGGUCGUUGCAUCGCUCUUGUAUGCUUUUAAUCGGUUACCCGUUAAGAAGAUAAAUGGUGAAAAACCACCUCUUCUAGUUAGCUGUGAUGGUAUUGAAUUUGCCUCUUCUGACCGACCUAGUAAACUAUCAAAGGGGCAGGCAUCCUUUAAACUGAAGAUCUCCAAGGUGGUAAUAUUAGAUUUAGUUUGUGCAAUAUUUUAUUCAACAAGUAUGUUUCUCGGUAAAAAUUUCUUCGAGGAACUUAUUGCAUGAGAAACUAGUCUGUAGUUUUUCUUUCUUCUGGAAGUCUUCUAUUGCGGAAAAUAAUGUCUUCUGCUGAUGGUAACCAACCCCGUAUAAUAUAACUGCAGCUAAACUACUUCUUAUAGCAGAGGUUACAAUAUUUUGUGUAGGUAGGUUGGUUGAGUUGAAGCCGGGUAUAAAUUCAUAAUGUCUCCACUGAUACUUAAGCAAAUAAUUAAAAUGUUCAUUAAUUCCAAUCUCAAAUAAACACAUCUGAUAAGGUUCACAAGCUUAUCCAAAAGUUGGCUCAUACGCAUGAUGUAUAUUGGCUGAUUGGAAAAUCAAGCUCUUAACUGGUACCUAAAGAAAUUCAUGGCUUGAGCUUGAAUUAAACUUUAGCAAACCAAGCUUGAUCAAAAUUACUAGAUUGGCUAUUACAGCCUCUGGCAGAAUCAAUAAUGACGGCAGGGAACUAUAUAAAAAAGGCAAUGUGGAACUCUACAUUGCAUAGAAGAGUUUAUAAAAAAGGAAGAAGCAGAACUCUCACUUCAAGAUCCGAGAGGCCUGCAAGAGCCUGGAACAUUUAUACUUAGGUUUCCUACUUCAAGGAGUUGGCCCCACCCAGACGCUGGUAGCUUAGUUGUGACACAUGUUGGAAGUGAUUACACUAUCCAUCACCGGCUGCUUUCUCUCGAUAAUGUAUAUAGUUCCGAAGCACAGGAAAUGAAUGUCGAAGUAAAACCUCUGCAUGAUGUGCUAUUGGAAGAACCCGAGCUCUCUCGACUAGGAAGGUAGAAAACAUCUCCACUUCAAUUUCCUUCUUUGUAAAUCAGACAUGUCAUGUUAAUUUUUCGUUUUUAACCCGUAAAAAUGCAGGGUAGUGAGACGCAAUUGACCAUUGCUCGGAUGUAGCAUUGUGUUUACUUGUUUGGUUCAGGAUGACCAUUGCCAUUACCGCACUGCUAGUUUAGGUUUGCUCAAGAGUCAAGCCCCUUUUCCUUUAUAAAAAAUAUAUGUAAUAUUAGAAGCCGAGGCAGUGUCGUAUCGUAUCGAUACUGUAAACAAGCAUUGCACUGAUGAUGACAUUCAUGUACCAUACAUGCUGACAAGAAAUCAAUUUUGAAAAGUUUUUUGUUGU